GUUUACAUGUUGUGUGUUAUUGUUAUUAUAGGUCCAGUACAAUGAGUUAACAUGUCUACCUAAUAAUGUGAUCAAACUGGAUAAACUAUCUAAAAUAUUUGCAAGUCUCUCCUAUAUGUUAGGAAGGUUUGAGUCUCUUCAUUAUCUUCUCUUUGAUGUUCUCCUCUUAA